rnacentral:tRNA from 1 species
GGUGCGAUGGCGAAGUGGCCUAACGCUGCGGUUUGCAAAACCGCCAUUCGCGGGUUCGACUCCCGCUCGCACCU